AAUUUUGGACAAUGGGGGCAACCCUGAUCCAGCCAUGCCGCGUGUGUGAAGAAGGUCUUCGGAUUNUAAAGCACUUUAAGUUGGGANGAAGAGUUGUAGGCUAAUACCUUGCAAUUUUGACGUUACCAACAGAAUAAGCACCGGCUAACUUCGUGCCAGCAGCCGCGGUAAUACGAAGGGUGCAAGCGUUAAUCGGAAUUACUGGGCGUAAAGCGCGCGUAGGUGGUUCAGUAAGAUGGGUGUUAAAGCCCCGGGCUUAACCUGGGAAUUGCUUUCAAAACUGACGAGCUAGAGUACGGUAGAGGGUAGUGGAAUUUCCUGUGUAGCGGUGAAAUGCGUAGAUAUAGGAAGGAACAUCAGUGGCGAAGGCGACUACCUGGACUGAUACUGACACUGAGGUGCGAAAGCGUGGGGAGCAAACAGG
rnacentral:rRNA from 1 species